rnacentral:tRNA from 1 species
AGGGUAGUAGCUCAGUGGUAGAGUGCGUGCCUAGCGUGUGUGAGGUUCUGGGUUCAAUCCCCAGUACCUCCA